CCUACGGGUGGCUGCAGUGGGGAAUAUUGGACAAUGGGGGAAACCCUGAUCCAGCCAUGCCGCGUGUGUGAAGAAGGCCCUCGGGUUGUAAAGCACUUUCAGUGAGGAAGAACGCCUGGUGGUUAAUACCCAUCAGGAAAGACAUCACUCACAGAAGAAGCACCGGCUAACUCCGUGCCAGCAGCCGCGGUAAUACGGAGGGUGCGAGCGUUAAUCGGAAUUACUGGGCGUAAAGCGCGCGUAGGUGGCUUGAUAAGCCGGUUGUGAAAGCCCCGGGCUCAACCUGGGAACGGCAUCCGGAACUGUCAAGCUAGAGUGCAGGAGAGGAAGGUAGAAUUCCCGGUGUAGCGGUGAAAUGCGUAGAGAUCGGGAGGAAUACCAGUGGCGAAGGCGGCCUUCUGGACUGACACUGACACUGAGGUGCGAAAGCGUGGGUAGCAAACAGGAUUAGAUACCCGUGUAGUC
rnacentral:rRNA from 1 species